rnacentral:rRNA from 1 species
UGCAAGUCGAACGAUGAUGCCCAGCUUGCUGGGUGGAUUAGUGGCGAACGGGUGAGUAACACGUGAGUAACCUGCCCCUGACUCUGGGAUAAGCGUUGGAAACGACGUCUAAUACUGGAUAUGAUCACUGGCCGCAUGGUCUGGUGGUGGAAAGAUUUUUUGGUUGGGGAUGGACUCGCGGCCUAUCAGCUUGUUGGUGAGGUAAUGGCUCACCAAGGCGACGACGGGUAGCCGGCCUGAGAGGGUGACCGGCCACACUGGGACUGAGACACGGCCCAGACUCCUACGGGAGGCAGCAGUGGGGAAUAUUGCACAAUGGGCGAAAGCCUGAUGCAGCAACGCCGCGUGAGGGAUGACGGCCUUCGGGUUGUAAACCUCUUUUAGUAGGGAAGAAGCGAAAGUGACGGUACCUGCAGAAAAAGCACCGGCUAACUACGUGCCAGCAGCCGCGGUAAUACGUAGGGUGCAAGCGUUGUCCGGAAUUAUUGGGCGUAAAGAGCUCGUAGGCGGUUUGUCGCGUCUGCUGUGAAAUCCCGAGGCUCAACCUCGGGCUUGCAGUGGGUACGGGCAGACUAGAGUGCGGUAGGGGAGAUUGGAAUUCCUGGUGUAGCGGCGGAAUGCGCAGAUAUCAGGAGGAACACCGAUGGCGAAGGCAGAUCUCUGGGCCGUAACUGACGCU